ensembl:lncRNA
UUUAAUAAGGAAUAAAUUGCUUAAUUUUUAAGAUAUUUUUUAUUCCACAUGGGAGCCGAUAGAUGUUCCUUGGCAAGCCAUAACCUGAGAAAGAAAGAAAGAAAGAAGCACAGGUAAGUGAAAUUCAAUGAAUAAAUGACCAUGGAAGUAACUACAUAAUUAUUAGGGAACGUGACAGAUCAUUUCGACAGUGCAGGAGGGAAAUUAAAAAAAAAAAAAAAGCUGUCGACAAAUAACACCCUCCCCCCCCUUUAUUUAUUUAUUUAUUUUGAGUCUCCCACAGCAGCCCUCACAAUAGCACCGCAAGGACAGCUAAGAAAGGGGAGAUCUCACGCCAGCCGUUCAGGAGGUGGCUCUCUCUCGGUUAAACACCAGAGGAAACGAACCCACGAAACGGGGCGCGGGGCUCGGCCCCCCUCGCCUCCCCCCAGCCCGUGGCCGCUCGCAGCCGCUGCGCUUUGUAGUUUCCCGGCGCCGGAGCAGUAGGACCCAGGGGCCCUCGGCAGCCACCAAUAGAGGCUGCUACCGGGAUCUAUUUGUAUGCGAUGCCUCCUGCCCCGCGAAUUAAUAGCAAUACAGAUAACGGCUCUGAAAGAAUGCUCUUCUGGAGAAGGAUUUGAUUUUCCGGGGUCCUGAUACUGGGGAGAAAUCCGGUUCCAUCCCCCUUUUUGAUUUAAAACUCUCCUGAACAGCUUGUCGUCUUCAGCGCUCCCUCUUUCUCUCUCUCCGUAUAAAUACACCUCCCCGCAGCCCCGCUCUGCGCAAGGAAAGUUGGAAAAGGGCAGCCUGGGCGAUGGGGCUGCCGCUGCCCUGAGAGCCUGUGGAGCCCGGCGGUAACAUUUACGUUAGUACUGCUGAGCUGGUGUAAUGCAAGGAAGGACACAUCAUGAAAUGGAAACAUUAUCCUUUUUUGGUCAUAGUAGCUGCAUGCAGCCUUUCCAGAUGUCAUCACUUACUGGGUCAGCUUAUUCCAGUUUUCUUUUGUAAAGGUGGGAACAAGCUUUCAGAUUCGUGGUCUGAUAACAAAAACAGUAGGAACAUUCCUCAUGGACCUGGCUGGGCUUGGGAUCCUUACUUCAAGCAGGGAGUACUGUGGAAGUGCCAUCCAUCUGAACUGGAACAGAGGCUAGAUAUGUGGUAUCGAGUUAGUCCUUGAGCUUUACAGAGAUGCCUGGACAACAAAAGACUUGUAAAACCACGUAAUGACAAAUUUUGAAUGCUCUUGGUAGAUUUAAUGGUAGAUUUUUAUAACAGAAUUCUUGUAGAUCUUAGAGAGAGGAGGAUGAGGAGAGAACUUCUUUUGAACCCAGGUUUUUGAGAUUUUGGUAGAAGCUUGUGUACCUCCAUGGUCUACACAUACUGUCUCCCAGUACUUGAGCAAUACUAAUGUACUAGAAAUCUGGCAUUUUCAUCAUUUUCAAGUAAAAGAAGUGUGUUUUUUUUUAUUAUUUUUUUCGGACACCUGUUUUGAUUUUUAAAUGUGAAGUGUAUUUCUUUUCUUCAGGAAAUAGUUCUCCUUUAGGAGAUACAUAUAAGCAACAAAGUGUAAUAUAUAUAAAAUAUACACAACAGAAUGUAAAUUUGAGAAAUGUUUCACUAGUGAAACUUUGAAACAAAUGAAAAAAAACAAAAAACAUUCUCUGAUAAUCAUAGAAGCCUACCAAAGUCCUGAAGAGAACCAACUCAGGAUUUGACCUCUCCUGAAGUAAACAAGAAUAUUUUAAAUUUUCUAUUCCUGAGCAUUUCUUGGCUUGCUAAUGCAACAUUGGAGAAAAUAUGUUCACUAUCCUAGCUUGUUUACCUCUUUCAACAGGAGACAGUUAUUAAACAUAAUGAAACUUUCAGAAAUGCAAAUGUUCUUUUUUCAUUACCUCUAAAUUUUAACCAGAGUAGGCACUUUUUGCCUACCUUUAAAGCCAUGCUGAGGUGUAAGCUGUCAUUUUUGGAAUCUAAAGCUUUUAUCUAAGAGCUUUCAUCAAGUUAAUCAUAACCCAGUAAUGUAAGUCACUCUUCAGGUCUGCCUUUUCUACGAAGUUAUUUGGUGUGUUUUUUUUUUUUUUUUUUUCAAAAUCACUUAACUUUUCAAUCCUCAAGAAUCUGUGAUCUGGCUAGUGAAAACAGCUUACAGAUUUGCAGGUUCCCUUUGUUACCUGCUUGUCAAACUACUAAAUUUUAUCUGAAUAUGGUACUCCAGGUUUCUAAGUGUUUUAUACAUUCUGACAAGAAAUUCGAUUUUCUUGUGUCCCUUCAACCUCUGAAGUUGCCCUGAAAAAAAUGGUUCCUAGCACUGAAAGAUCUUCAUUUGUUGCUUAAUAAAGAUCAUGACCAUCUUUUAUAAUGUAGUGUA